rnacentral:rRNA from 1 species
UUUAAUUCGAUGCAACGCGAAGAACCUUACCUGGUCUUGACAUAUCUAGAAUCCUGCAGAGAUGCGGGAGUGCCUUCGGGAAUUAGAAUACAGGUGCUGCAUGGCUGUCGUCAGCUCGUGUCGCGAGAUGUUGGGUUAAGUCCCGCAACGAGCGCAACCCUUGUCCUUAGUUACCAGCGGGUUAAGCCGGGAACUCUAAGGAUACUGCCAGUGACAAACUGGAGGAAGGCGGGGACGACGUCAAGUCAUCAUGGCCCUUACGACCAGGGCUACACACGUGCUACAAUGGUAGGUACAGAGGGCAGCUACACAGCGAUGUGAUGCGAAUCUCAAAAAGCCUAUCGUAGUCCAGAUUGGAGUCUGCAACUCGACUCCAUGAAGUAGGAAUCGCUAGUAAUCGCGGAUCAGAAUGCCG